rnacentral:lncRNA from 1 species
CUGCUCUAAUGGGGAGGCUAACGGAAUCUAGACACCACAAAGGAUGUUCGACCCGCACCUAUAAACCCUAUCCUUCCUGCUAACGAGAUGUGAUCUACAAAGGUAGCUCGGAAAUGUCACGUUCCUCACUACUACCACGGUCCAGCUAGUCAGGGAAUAUCUAUGAGUACCCCAGCCUAAACACCACGUUUACGCCAGCAAUGAUUACUCUAAACUCUACGCGAAGAGAUUAAAGUAAACUCAUAAACCAUAAGAACAAUAAAACAAGAACUUACUAGAAUUUAGAAGUCGAAUUACUGAAGAAUCCUAGGAGCAAGCUUCGGGUUAGGAGAACUUGAUCUCGCAGGUACAAGCUUGGAGUAGACACCGACAGGCCGGGCUUCCUCCACUCUAUACCUCCACUCUAUCUCUCUCAAUCUAGUAGAAACUAGAAGAUCUAUUUCUACCUUACAUUGAUUGCUAAGCCUAAAAAGAAAUAUUAAUUAGAGAAGAGGUUUUCCUUCGAGGGCACCCCUCAGUCUCUAUGAUAAUUUCUUCAUGUCCUCCAGGGGCCAGGGGGGCCUCGCUUAUAUAGUCCUCCCCUUCUUUGCGUUUUUGGGUCGAUAGCCGAGGUGGUACUAUGUUUUUCUUGAUCCAAUAGGUCGGUGGAAUAUCCCGAGCGAAGGAGUCCUGAAUUGGCUCCAGCAUGGGGGCGGGCGCCCUGGGCCUGGCCCAGCUUCGCCUCCGCUUCGGUCUCGUGGCUUCUGGAGUCUUCUAGAUGAUGUAGAAUUGCGCGGUGCGUUGAUAUCUCUAUGUAAUCCCAACAUGUGGGCCUUUCUUCCUUAUUUCCUGAUAACCCCCUGCAGAAAUAGAUAAACAACAAAACUCGUGGAAUUCUGUCAGAUCAAACCCUAAUUCUAGGUGAUGGUUGCAUAUUGGUCCUUUCUCUUGUUUAUUUGAUAAUUAAAAUUGAUACUUAAGAACCGUCAACAAAUACCCCCAUACUUAGGCUUUUACUCGUCCUCGAGAAAAGGAUGGUUAAGAAAAAUAUCUGGGGUAAACAUUUAAAACAUUCUCUUUACAAUUGCAGGGUGUUAAAAAUUCCACUGUGUACCAUAGUCAGGGAAGUAUAUGGUUAAGCGUAAAGAUCCUUUCUUCUCAAUCCUGUCACUUGGAGUUUUUGUAUAUUUUUGAAAGAAAGUUAGCAUACCUUUUGAUCCUCAUAAGUUCUCUCAGAUCACUCAUUAUAUUUUAUAUAUUUCACUGAGGCUGUUUUAUUUUGCAAAAAUUCUCAAGCACACUUACUUUGCAUUUAUUGCCUGAUCAAAACGGGAUCCGAGGAGGGAAAUGUCAUACUCUUAGAUCAAAGACUUUGGAAAUUAAAAACUUUGUCAACUCUUGCUGGCAUAUUGCUUAUUAGAGGGACCAUGGGCUAUCAUUUAUUUUAUUUUAUUUUUUUUUAAGUGGAUACCGAGGUACCCCUAAUUCUACUGCCGGACACUUGUCCAUUUUUUCUGCGAGGUUGUCGAGCACUUGCUCCUUUUUAUUUCCUCGAAAUAUCUCUAUUUUUGCAUAGCCCAUGCCUCUAAUGCAAUAAUACUUCGGAAUAGUGAAUCUUACUGAAAUAGUUUCUUGAUCUUAGAAGCAUGAUAAAUCUCUCAACAAGGGUCUAACUCAUUUUGAACAAACUCAAUAUAGAGCAGAUAGCUUUUAUAAUCAUAUUUAAUAUUUCAGUUUUAUCAGGCAUAUAAAACACUGAGGAUGGUAGCUAGGAAUUUGAAUAUUUUGAAAUAAAUUCUCCAAGCAACAAUGAUAUCAAGAAUAAGAAACUCAUACUCUACCAUCACAUAUUCCAUCUUGACUUAAGUAACACAGGGUUUUUUUUAAAAAAUGAUUUUAUACUAAUUGCAAGUUUUCAGGAAAUAUCACAGAUUGAGAUUAAUCAUGAUUAGAAAUAUUUUAAUCUUUUUAUUUUAUCAUGUCGGGAACAAUAUUCUGCAUAAUCUAAAAUAUAUAUAUGUGUAGAGUAAAGUGUGCAGAGUGUGUACCUGAAUCGUGGAGUGGUGUAGUCGGAGUGUGUUUAGCAUGUCGAGGGAUCUCCCCCAUACUUGUUUUCUGCUUUCUUGCCCAAAAAUAAAGUAGAGACACACAAGACAUAAUAAUAAUACUCUUUAUUGAUCUUGAGGCAUUUAUUACACAAGGAAGAACAAAAUUAUUUUUGGCUAUUCUCUCCCGGAUUAGGAGUAGAAUAUUUUUGGGUGAUUCUGAAGAUGGAAAUGUAUGGAUAUAUGUGGAUGGUACUUCCAGAGUAGAAGUAGCAUGUGUGAGUGAACGUGCAAGUGAAUCUUGAUUUAACCACAUGACAAGCUCCUAAGGGUCUACACAGCUUGACCACACUCAAUGCUCAUAAGCAGUAAAAAGUAAUUGUGUGGCUCGAAGUCUAGCAAGCAUGUAUAUAUGGCUGUGGUAGGAAUUUAAACUCUCAUCAUACAGGAACUCAUCAUGCAACAUUUUAAAGAUUUCCAAAGAUAAAAUUCUCCAGAAUUCUAGCAUCUCUAGAAACAGAUAAACAGCAGCUCAACCUUCCCAUAUCAAGUUUUCAUCCCACAAGUUUAGGUCUAGAGCAAGC